UAUCUGUCUAAGAUAGCCAUGCACGUCUAAGUACAAACUAAAUGAUGGUGAAACUGCAAAUGGCUCAUUACAACGGUUAUGAUGUACCCGGGAGUUCCGAUGGAUAUUUCCAGUAACACUAGAACUAAUACAUGUCCCUGCGUUUAUUAGUUUCGCACAGUCCGUCGCUGAGUCAUGGUAAACAGUUGAUCGACUCGACGUCCCGGAACAGUUUCCGCCCCAUCAGCUUCGAUGGUUGGGUAUUGGCCUACCAUUGCAACAACGGGUAACGAGGAACUAGGGUUUGAUUUCGGAGAGGGAGCCUGAGAAACGGCUACCACAUCUACGGAUGGCAGCAGGCGCGCAAAUUACCCAAUGCAGACACUGUGAGGUAGUGACGAGAAAUAAUAAAGCGGGACUUCUGUUUCGCUAUUAUAAUGAGGAAUAACCAAAGGUCAUUCCGAUUAGCAACUGAUGGGAAAGUCUGGUGCCAGCAGCCGCGGUAAUACCAGCGUCAGUAG
rnacentral:rRNA from 1 species